AGCCUGAUGGAGCACGCCGCGUGAGUGAAGAAGGUUUUCGGAUCGUAAAACUCUGUUGUAAGGGAAGAACAAGUACAGUAGUAACUGGCUGUACCUUGACGGUACCUUAUUANAAAGCCACGGCUAACUACGUGCCAGCAGCCGCGGUAAUACGUAGGUGGCAAGCGUUGUCCGGAAUUAUUGGGCGUAAAGCGCGCGCAGGCGGUCNUUUAAGUCUGAUGUGAAAGCCCNCGGCUCANCCGNGGAGGGUCAUUGNAAACUGGGGGACUUGAGUG
rnacentral:rRNA from 1 species